rnacentral:rRNA from 1 species
AGCUGGGCCUGUUCUGACGCUGAGGUACGAAAGCGUGGGGAGCGAACGGGAUUAGAUACCCCGGUAGUCCACGCUGUAAACGAUGUGCACUAGAUCGAGGGGGUUCGGACACUGCUCUCGGUCGAAGCGAAAGUGUGAAGUGCACCGCCUGGGGAGUACGGUCGCAAGGCUAAAACUCAAAGGAAUUGACGGGGGCUCACACAAGCGGUGGAGCAUGUGGCUUAAUUCGAAGCAACGCGAAGAACCUUAUCCUGGGUUUGACAUGUACAGAUUAACUCCUGGAAACAGGAGCCACGCCCUUCGGGUGGAACGUACACAGGUGCUGCAUGGCUGUCGUCAGCUCGUGCUGUGAAGUGUCGGGUUAAGUCCCUUAACGAGCGCAACCCCUAUCGCUAGUUGCCAGCGCGUCAUGGCGGGGACUCUAGCGAGACUGCCGGUGUCAAACCGGAGGAAGGUGGGGACGACGUCAAGUCCGCAUGGCCUUUAUGCCCAGGGCUGCACACGUGCUACAAUGGCCGGUACAGAACGAUGCAAGACCGCGAGGUGGAGCAAAUCGCUAAAACCGGCCCCAGUUCAGAUUGGAGGCUGCAACUCGCCUCCAUGAAGUCGGAAUCGCUAGUAAUCGGGGAUCAGUACGCCCCGGUGAAUACGUUCCUGAGCCUUGUACACACCGCCCGUCAAGUCAUGGAAGCUGGCAGCACCCGAAGUCGCCGCGAUUCAGCGGUGCCCACGGUGAGGCUGGUGACUGGGACUAAGUCG